rnacentral:rRNA from 1 species
CUACGGGCCGCUCCAGCUACGAAAACUUUACAAUGCACGAAAGUGUGAUAAGGGAAUUCGAAGUGCUUACCUUCGGGUAGGCUUUUGUUAAGUGUAAGUAACUUGACGAAUAAGUGGUGGGCAAUACCGGUGCCAGCAGCCGCGGUAACACCGGAGCCACUAGUGGUAAUCGCAUUUAUUUGGCCUAAAGCGUCUGUAGCCGAUUUAGUAACUCUUUUGUGAAAUCGCUAGACUUAAUUUAGCGGAUGGCAAAAGAAACUACUAGGUUAGAGACCGGGAAGAGAUAAGGGUAUUCCUUGGGAAGCGGUAAAAUGUUUUAAUCCUUGGAAGACCACCAAUGGCGAAAGCACUUAUCUAGAACGGGUCUGACGGUGAGGGACGAAAGCUAGGAGAACGAUCGGGAUUAGAUACCCUCGUAGUC